rnacentral:misc_RNA from 1 species
AUCGCUUCUCGGCCUUUUGGCUAAGAUCAAGUGAAGUACCUGAUUUGUCAGAUGGGGGGGUCAGACCCAUCUGAUGGAAAGGGGAAAAAACUUGAUCCUCUGCCAAGAGGCCAUAGCACUAUGAAAGCCGGAGUUGUAGUGCCUACGGGGGGUGCCUGACUCACCACUGGGGUCACGCACUUAGCACUUCACUUCACGCUUUUCAUUUUGCUUUACACUUUUCUUUGCUCCGGCCUUUUGGCUAGGCAAGAAAAAUUUUUUCUAACCGGCCGCCAGCCGGAGCCUUCACUGGCACAUAUGGCACAAGCACUUAUUGCACCUUGCACUUAUUUUUUGCGUGUUUGUGUGUCCUUUUUUUUGUUGGCAUGUAUCUUUACACGGGCUUUGGGUGUUAAUAGUCCUUUUGGACUCAACCCCUGGCCAGGUAUUGGUGCCCUGGGGGAAGCUUCGGCGGAACCCAGGGUAAAGGGACUCCCCCUAGCCGCAAGGUGAAGGGGAGUCUAAAGACCCUAAGCUCCUCGUCGGUGCCUUUUGGCCGGAGGGGCUGGGGAAGACGGGGCUCACCCUAGCUUCGGCGAAGGUGAGCCCAACGAUCCUUGUCGUCUCUGGGCCUGGCCUGGGACACUUGGGUAUGGGAGCCCAUGCCUUUGGGUAGGACUCCCGGGGAGCACCUUGCACUCUGCACUUGAGCACUGGGCACAAAGGGGCUCUUGAAAGCACGUACUCCGGCUUUCAAUAAAAAAAAA